GAGUCUGAAUAGGGCGUUUAGUAUUUGGUCGUAGACCCGAAACCAGGUGAUCUACCCUUGGUCAGGUUGAAGUUCAGGUAACACUGAAUGGAGGACCGAACCGACUUACGUUGAAAAGUGAGCGGAUGAACUGAGGGUAGCGGAGAAAUUCCAAUCGAACCUGGAGAUAGCUGGUUCUCUCCGAAAUAGCUUUAGGGCUAGCCUCAAGUGAUGAUUAUUGGAGGUAGAGCACUGUUUGGACGAGGGGCCCCUCUCGGGUUACCGAAUUCAGACAAACUCCGAAUGCCAAUUAAUUUAACUUGGGAGUCAGAACAUGGGUGAUAAGGUCCGUGUUCGAAAGGGAAACAGCCCAGACCACCAGCUAAGGUCCCAAAAUAUAUGUUAAGUGGAAAAGGAUGUGGCGUUGCCCAGACAACUAGGAUGUUGGCUUAGAAGCAGCCAUCAUUUAAAGAGUGCGUAAUAGCUCACUAGUCGAGUGACACUGCGCCGAAAAUGUACCGGGGCUAAACAUAUUACCGAAGCUGUGGAUUGUCCUUUGGACAAUGGUAGGAGAGCGUUCUAAGGGCGUUGAAGCAUGAUCGUAAGGACAUGUGGAGCGCUUAGAAGUGAGAAUGCCGGUGUGAGUAGCGAAAGACGGGUGAGAAUCCCGUCCACCGAUUGACUAAGGUUUCCAGAGGAAGGCUCGUCCGCUCUGGGU
rnacentral:rRNA from 1 species